UACGGAGGGUGCGAGCGUUGUCCGGAAUCACUGGGCGUAAAGGGCGCGUAGGCGGCCUGAUAAGUAGGGGGUGAAAUCCUGCGGCUUAACCGCAGGGCUGCCUUCUAAACUGUCAGGCUGGAGCACAGUAGAGGCAGGUGGAAUUCCCGGUGUAGCGGUGGAAUGCGUAGAGAUCCGGAGGAAGACCGGUGGCGAAGGCGGUCUGCUGGGCAGUUUCUGACACUGAUGCGCGACAGCGUGGGGAGCAAACAGG
rnacentral:rRNA from 1 species